rnacentral:rRNA from 1 species
UACGAAGGGGGCUAGCGUUGUUCGGAUUUACUGGGCGUAAAGCGCACGUAGGCGGAUUGUUAAGGCAGGGGUGAAAUCCUGGAGCUCAACUCCAGAACUGCCUUUGAUACUGGCAAUCUCGAGUCCGGAAGAGGUGAGUGGAACUCCUAGUGUAGAGGUGGAAUUCGUAGAUAUUAGGAAGAACCCCAGUGGCGAAGGCGGCUCACUGGUCCGGUACUGACGCUGAGGUGCGAAAGCGUGGGGAGCAAACAGG